rnacentral:rRNA from 1 species
UACGUAGGGCGCAAGCGUUGUCCGGAAUUAUUGGGCGUAAAGAGCUCGUAGGCGGCUUGUCACGUCUGCUGUGAAAUCCCGGGGCUCAACCCCGGGCGUGCAGUGGAUACGGGCUGGCUAGAGGCAGGCAGGGGAGAACGGAAUUCCCGGUGUAGCGGUGAAAUGCGCAGAUAUCGGGAGGAACACCGGUGGCGAAGGUGGUUCUCUGGGCCUGUACUGACGCUGAGGAGCGAAAGCGUGGGGAGCGAACAGG